AACGAACGCUGGCGGCAGGCCUAACACAUGCAAGUCGAGCGCGCCUUCGGGUGAGCGGCGGACGGGUGGGUAACGCGUGGGAAUAUGCCCUUCUCUACGGAAUAGUCCUGGGAAACUGGGGGUAAUACCGUAUACGCCCUUUGGGGGAAAGAUUUAUCGGGGAAGGAUUAGCCCGCGUUGGAUUAGGUAGUUGGUGGGGUAAUGGCCUACCAAGCCGACGAUCCAUAGCUGGUUUGAGAGGAUGAUCAGCCACACUGGGACUGAGACACGGCCCAGACUCCUACGGGAGGCAGCAGUGGGGAAUCUUAGACAAUGGGGGCAACCCUGAUCUAGCCAUGCCGCGUGAGUGAUGAAGGCCUUAGGGUUGUAAAGCUCUUUCAGCUGGGAAGAUAAUGACGGUACCAGCAGAAGAAGCCCCGGCUAACUCCGUG
rnacentral:rRNA from 1 species